ensembl:lncRNA
UGGAAACCUUUGAUAGAGUAUGGAUUAAUUUCAGUGAGGUUGAAUAAGAACGUUGCCAUUUUGUGUUGAAUGCGUGUGGACCUGGGGAGAUAUCUUUCAAGGUAAUUAAAUCUUACCAAAUAUGUCACUGUUAGAGUCAGUCACUCUAAAAUACUCAUGACUCAUUCACGAAUUUAGGGAAUAAAGCAUGUUUUUCUAUCGUGUGAAAGCGUAGUUGACUUUCCUUAGAACUAUGCAGUUAAUUGGUGUAAUUCGCUGGGGGGAAGGGGAGUUACUAACUGCAUGCUUAAGCAACUCAAAAUGUUGGCGCAUUUUUUGGGAUAUAUUCACUAUACCACGGUGGGGAAAGUCGUUGGUAAUGUCUUUAUUUGUUAUGCUGCUAUGCCCGGUAAAACGUAAAAACGUGUGAGUAUAUUAAUUGGGCCAGUGAGAAUUUUGAUGGUCCUGUCUGUAGCCGAGGGCUCUGUAGGCGUCACGUACACGCGGCAAUGGCAGCUAGCGUUUAGCAUUAGGCUAAUAUUAGCAUCGCUGGGUAGCAAAGGCAUUCAUAGUUUAAGCGGUUUGGUCUUUACCAGCUAUACCUAGCCUUCCCCAGUCAUUGUAACGGACUGGGUAUUAUGUAAUGUUGUGUUAUGUGUUUUCCUCUGUUAAAAUAGUUUGUUUAUUUCCAUUUCACGGGGUUGAGUUGUUGGGAUUCCAGAGAGUUGGUGGAUAUGUCAUAGGCUGUAGGGUCGUGAUUGGCUGAGAACCAGGAAACGUUAUCGUUGUUCUGGGAGAGAGCUAGGCUAAAGUGCGAUGCUAAUAUUGGCCUAAUGCUAAACGCUAGCUCCUAUUGCCGAGUUUUCGUGACGCCCACGGAGCCCUCGGCUAUAGACAGACCGUCGCCGUUCUCACUGACCCAACAGUUUAUUCGAUGUAGUUGCUUUUGCGUUGGCUACAGCCCACAGUAGCCUGUGUAUUAAUUGGGAAAUAAAUCGCCAGAAAACCCCAGUUCCGUCUCGUGGCAUUUUUACAGAGGGACGCUACAAUGUAAUGUUUUCAUUUCAUUUUGUUGUGUUAAGAAUGUAUUAUUUUUUAAGGUCUUGAUGUCUAAUUACCUUAAUAGAGCCAUAUUUAAAUGAGAAAUGAGGGAGAUUUUUAUUUAACUGUUGUAUUGAAAUGUUUAUUUAAGGGUAAACUUGUUCUGUAGAAACUGGUUGAAUCACAAAAUAUUUGUUUUAGUUUUUUCUGUAGGUAUAGGUAAUUGGUGUUGAGACAGUUGGGUUGAGACGGGCUUCUGCUUCAAGCAUUGUUCCUAAGGCUCUGUAGAAAUUUGAUAUGGCAGUGUAAAGG